rnacentral:rRNA from 1 species
CGUUCAACCUCACCCUUCCUUGUUCCCCCCGCCUAUAUACCGCCGUCGUCAGCUUACCCUAUGAAGGCCCUUUAGUAAGCAUAAUUGGCACAGCCCAAAACGUCAGGUCGAGGUGUAGCGUAUGGAAAGGGAAGAAAUGGGCUACAUUCCCUGUUACAGUGAAUUACGGAUAAUACCACUGAAACGUGUAUCUAGAAGGAGGAUUUAGCAGUAAGCAGAAAGUAGAGCGUUCUGCUGAAACCGGCCCUGAAGCGCGCACACACCGCCCGUCACUCUCCCCGAGCGUAUUUUUUCAAUUUAACUCAAAACCUUUCGACAGCAAAGGGGAGGCAAGUCGUAACAUGGUAAGUGUACCGGAAGGUGCACUUGGCUAAAA